rnacentral:rRNA from 1 species
UACAGAGGUCCCUAGCGUUGUUCGGAUUCACUGGGCGUAAAGGGUGCGUAGGCGGUCGGGUAAGUCUGAUGUGAAAUUUCACAGCUUAACUGUGAAACUGCAUUGGAUACUAUCCGGCUAGAGGAAUGGAGGGGAGACUGGAAUACUUGGUGUAGCAGUGAAAUGCGUAGAUAUCAAGUGGAGCACCAGUGGCGAAGGCGAGUCUCUGGACAUUUCCUGACGCUGAGGCACGAAAGCCAGGGGAGCAAACGGG